AGUGGGGGAGGACAUCAGGGCUAGCCUGGCCAAGGAAUGAUUCCUGUAGAUCAGUCAGAGUGGUGGGAGAAACUAUAGGGAAAGGAGCAGACCUUCUGAAAAGUCGGAAGCCUCUGCAUAGCCUCCAGGGAGAAUAAGCUGAAGGCAGCUGUUUUCUGACCCUGAGGCAGAGGGCAAGGAGUAGGUACCAGGAAGCAUAGGGGAAUUUAUCAUAAAUAGGCUUGUUUACUUACAUUGACCAGGAGCUGACCUUUGAUCAUCCACAUGUGUGACCCGUUCCCUGAAAGGGGAACAAUAAUGUUAAUUACCCACAGAUUGUUUUUGCUCCAGGCUUUCAGCAUUAUGUCUAUACUGAAUAAAAGCAAGCAGCUCCAGCUGUUUGCCUGCUCACUCUUUGGCUGCUAGUGCCAAGCAGUCCCCUAGCUGCUCUUACACUGCAUACCUGCGUCUGAGUACUCGUUUCAUCCAUCGUCCAGCCAGGGUCUGUGGGACAGACCCAGCAACUGGUGCCCUGUGUGAGGAAUGCUGCAACAGAUCACGAUGGAACCCCAAAAAUGAGGUGAAGAGACUGUGCGGGAAGAUGAUGGGAAUCUUUGCAAAUUGUAUCUUCUGUUUGAAAGUGAAGUACUUACCUCGGCAGCAGAAGAAAAAGCUACAAACUGACAUUAAGGAAAAUGGCGGAAAGUUUUCCUUUUCAUUAAAUCCUCA
rnacentral:lncRNA from 1 species